rnacentral:rRNA from 2 species
GAUGAACGCUGGCGGCGUGCCUAAUACAUGCAAGUCGAACGAGUUCUCGUUGAUGAUCGGUGCUUGCACCGAGAUUCAACAUGGAACGAGUGGCGGACGGGUGAGUAACACGUGGGUAACCUGCCCUUAAGUGGGGGAUAACAUUUGGAAACAGAUGCUAAUACCGCAUAGAUCCAAGAACCGCAUGGUUCUUGGCUGAAAGAUGGCGUAAGCUAUCGCUUUUGGAUGGACCCGCGGCGUAUUAGCUAGUUGGUGAGGUAAUGGCUCACCAAGGCGAUGAUACGUAGCCGAACUGAGAGGUUGAUCGGCCACAUUGGGACUGAGACACGGCCCAAACUCCUACGGGAGGCAGCAGUAGGGAAUCUUCCACAAUGGACGCAAGUCUGAUGGAGCAACGCCGCGUGAGUGAAGAAGGCUUUCGGGUCGUAAAACUCUGUUGUUGGAGAAGAAUGGUCGGCAGAGUAACUGUUGUCGGCGUGACGGUAUCCAACCAGAAAGCCACGGCUAACUACGUGCCAGCAGCCGCGGUAAUACGUAGGUGGCAAGCGUUAUCCGGAUUUAUUGGGCGUAAAGCGAGCGCAGGCGGUUUUUUAAGUCUGAUGUGAAAGCCCUCGGCUUAACCGAGGAAGCGCAUCGGAAACUGGGAAACUUGAGUGCAGAAGAGGACAGUGGAACUCCAUGUGUAGCGGUGAAAUGCGUAGAUAUAUGGAAGAACACCAGUGGCGAAGGCGGCUGUCUGGUCUGUAACUGACGCUGAGGCUCGAAAGCAUGGGUAGCGAACAGGAUUAGAUACCCUGGUAGUCCAUGCCGUAAACGAUGAAUGCUAGGUGUUGGAGGGUUUCCGCCCUUCAGUGCCGCAGCUAACGCAUUAAGCAUUCCGCCUGGGGAGUACGACCGCAAGGUUGAAACUCAAAGGAAUUGACGGGGGCCCGCACAAGCGGUGGAGCAUGUGGUUUAAUUCGAAGCAACGCGAAGAACCUUACCAGGUCUUGACAUCUUUUGAUCACCUGAGAGAUCAGGUUUCCCCUUCGGGGGCAAAAUGACAGGUGGUGCAUGGUUGUCGUCAGCUCGUGUCGUGAGAUGUUGGGUUAAGUCCCGCAACGAGCGCAACCCUUAUGACUAGUUGCCAGCAUUUAGUUGGGCACUCUAGUAAGACUGCCGGUGACAAACUGGAGGAAGGUGGGGAUGACGUCAAAUCAUCAUGCCCCUUAUGACCUGGGCUACACACGUGCUACAAUGGAUGGUACAACGAGUUGCGAGACCGCGAGGUCAAGCUAAUCUCUUAAAGCCAUUCUCAGUUCGGACUGUAGGCUGCAACUCGCCUACACGAAGUCGGAAUCGCUAGUAAUCGCGGAUCAGCACGCCGCGGUGAAUACGUUCCCGGGCCUUGUACACACCGCCCGUCACACCAUGAGAGUUUGUAACACCCGAAGCCGGUGGCGUAACCCUUUUAGGGAGCGAGCCGUCUAAGGUGGGACAAAUGAUUAGGGUG